UACGUAGGGUGCGAGCGUUGUCCGGAAUUAUUGGGCGUAAAGAGCUUGUAGGCGGUUUGUCGCGUCUGCUGUGAAAAUCCAGGGCUCAACCCUGGACCUGCAGUGGGUACGGGCAGACUAGAGUGCGGUAGGGGAGAUCGGAAUUCCUGGUGUAGCGGUGAAAUGCGCAGAUAUCAGGAGGAACACCGGUGGCGAAGGCGGAUCUCUGGGCCGUAACUGACGCUGAGGAGCGAAAGCAUGGGGAGCGAACAGG
rnacentral:rRNA from 1 species